rnacentral:misc_RNA from 1 species
CACUAUGAUGCCUUUCUGAUCGACUCCUGCUUCGACGUAACCGCUCUCUUUCCCGCUCCUUGUCCCUUUCACUGUCACGAUCACGCUCCCUCCUGUCUCGAUCACGAUCACGCUCACGAUCUCUAUCCCUGUCCUUCUCUUUCCCAUUUCUCUCCUCUCUAUCUCUGUCCCUCUCCCUAUCUCUACCUCUCUCCUUCUCCCUAUCUCUAUGUUCCCGGCUACUCCGGUGUCGCUCCCUCUCUGCAUCUCUAGAUCUUGAGCGAUGACGAGAUGAACCCCUAUCUUUAUGCCGGUAAUCACGAGAUUCAUCUCCCGAUUUUGAGCGCUUUGAGCGAUGUCGGUCAUCAUCCCCAUCAUCCUUCUCAUUGCUCUUAUGUUUUGAACUACGACUGCUAUCUUUAUCCCCAGGCUUCAUGGCAUCACCACCACCAUUGGCAGUUUCCUUUGCUGUAUGGGGUUCAGUAUUCUCAACCGUUUUUUCCAGGUAAUCAUACUCAUCAAACUCCAUUUUAACUACCGUCCAAUGAAUCAGACAAGCAACCUUGGAAAUAAAUCUUAUUACAGCUCAGAAAAGAAUAAUGAGAUGAAAACAGAGACCGAAUUGCUGCAAAGCAAGGAACCAAAUGCGAAUACUGAGAGAUCCAAGCGAGUUCUGAAAAGCAGAUUUUGGCACCCGUACCAGGAGUUUCCCUGUGUGUGACUCUCGCGCUCUGUCUCUCUCGAGCUAGG